UGCUCAGUAGUUCAGUGGUAGAGCGCCGCACUGUUAAUGCGAAUGUCGUAGGUUCGAAUCCUACCUGGGCAG
rnacentral:tRNA from 2 species